GGGUGUGUGGUGUAGCGGUUUAAGUGUUGGAUUGUGACUCUGGAGACCAGGGUUUCAAUCCCUGCCCAGCCA